rnacentral:rRNA from 1 species
CGUAGGUGGUAGUGAAAGUCUAUGGUGGAAUCUUAGGGCUUAACCCUAAACUGCCUUGGAAACUUCAUUACUUGAGUCAGUGAGGGGAGGGUAGAAUUCCUGGUGUAGCGGUGAAAUGCGUAGAUAUCAGGAGGAAGGCCGGUGGCGAAGGCGGCCCUCUGGCGCUGAACUGACGCUGAGGCGCGAAAGCGUGGGUAGCAAACAGGAUUAGAUACCCUGGUAGUCCACGCCCUAAACGGUGGGUACUAGGUGUAGGGCUCGUAAGGGUUCUGUGCCGAAGGGAAACCAUUAAGUACCCCGCCUGGGGAGUACGGCCGCAAGGUUGAA